GCAUAUCAAUAAGCGGAGGAAAAAGAAAACCAACAGGGAUUGCCUCAGUAACGGCGAGUGAAGCGGCAACAGCUCAAAUUUGAAAUCUGGCCGCAAGGUCCGAGUUGUAAUUUGUAGAGGAUGCUUUUGGCGAGGUGACUUCCGAGUUCCCCUGGAACGGGACGCCAUAGAGGGUGAGAGCCCCGUACGGUCGUGCCACCGAGCCUCUGUAAAGCUCCUUCGACGAGUCGAGUAGUUUGGGAAUGCUGCUCUAAAUGGGAGGUGUACGUCUUCUAAAGCUAAAUACCGGCCAGAGACCGAUAGCGCACAAGUAGAGUGAUCGAAAGAUGAAAAGCACUUUGAAAAGAGGGUUAAAAAGUACGUGAAAUUGUUGAAAGGGAAGCAUUCAUGACCAGACUUGGGCUUGGUUGAACAUCCGGCGUUCUCGCCGGUGCACUCUGCCAGCUCAGGCCAGCAUCAGUUUGCCCCGGGGGACAAAGGCGGCGGGAAUGUGGCUCCCUACGGGGAGUGUUAUAGCCCGUCGUGUAAUGCCCUGGGGUGGACUGAGGUUCGCGCUUCGGCACGGAUGCUGGCGUAAUGGUCAUCAAUGACCCGUCUUGAAACACGGACCAAGGAGUCGUCUUCGUAUGCGAGUGUUCGGGUGUCAAACCCCUACGCGUAAUGAAAGUGAACGUAGGUGAGAGCUUCGGCGCAUCACCGACCGAUCCUGAUGUUCUCGGAUGGAUUUGAGUAAGAGCAUACGGGGCCGGACCCGAAAGAAGGUGAACUAUGCCUGUAUAGGGUGAAGCCAGAGGAAACUCUGGUGGAGGCUCGCAGCGGUUUCUGACGUGCAAAUCGAUCGUCAAAUAUGGGGCAUGGGGGGCGAAAGACUAAAUCGAACCUUCUAGUAGCUGGUUUCCGCCGA
rnacentral:rRNA from 1 species